AUGCUCACUUCAUCAGCACAUAUAUUAAAAUUGGAAUGAUACAAAGAAGGUUAGCAUGGCUCCUGUGCAAGGAUGACAUACAAACUGUUCCAUAUUUUGAUGCUUUUU